rnacentral:rRNA from 1 species
AUUGAACGCUGGCGGCAUGCCUUACACAUGCAAGUCGAACGGCAGCACGGGUGCUUGCACCUGGUGGCGAGUGGCGAACGGGUGAGUAAUACAUCGGAACAUGUCCUGUAGUGGGGGAUAGCCCGGCGAAAGCCGGAUUAAUACCGCAUACGAUCUACGGAUGAAAGCGGGGGACCUUCGGGCCUCGCGCUAUAGGGUUGGCCGAUGGCUGAUUAGCUAGUUGGUGGGGUAAAGGCCUACCAAGGCGACGAUCAGUAGAUGGUCUGAGAGGACGACCAGCCACACUGGGACUGAGACACGGCCCAGACUCCUACGGGAGGCAGCAGUGGGGAAUUUUGGACAAUGGGCGAAAGCCUGAUCCAGCAAUGCCGCGUGUGUGAAGAAGGCCUUCGGGUUGCAAAGCACUUUUGUCCGGAAAGAAAUCCUUGGCUCUAAUACAGUCGGGGGAUGACGGUACCGGAAGAAUAAGCACCGGCUAACUACGUG